UUGUUAACUAAUUAUCAUUUGCUGCUUUCAAUUGCUUCAGUUCUGGAUUCACUUUAGUCUCUUCCUUUUCAUUCAAUCUAAUUUAUUGGACUUAAAAUGUCUUAACCAUUGUUUUUCACCCUUUUUUUCAUUGAUCAAUCUAAUUUAUUUUAAUGUUUCUCAUUUUAAUCUUGUUAAUUUUUACCAUUCAAAGUGUCGUCUAUACCAAUACUCUGAAUAAUCUGGAUCAGGUUAACUUUCCUUGUCAAAGUAACCGUCCAGCUAAAUACGACAAUUUAAGUGACUUUGCUUAUGACAUGUGUGCUCAAUGUUUCCAUUAUAUGGACAAUCGAGCAUUUCAAAAGGAUUAUCUUAGUGUCAAUGGUAAAGUGUACGCUUAUCGACCUAAAAUAGGUCAAUCUAAAAGUGGACUCCGCAAUCGACUCAAUUUAAAUGAGCCACUCAAAACAGUUGACUAUUGGUCUUUCAAUUUAACCUCACCUCAAGAUGAUCCGAUAUUGAAAAUGUUUAAGAAUCAAUUUUUUCGAGAUAUUUUCAUUGGAUGUUGUCGAGAUGCAAUCAACUGCUGUAAUGGCGUUUUAUCCAAACUGGAAAGACCAAAAGAUGGACGAACUUACUGUCAAGCUAAAUGGGAUGGUUGGAACUGUUGGCCUUAUGCGUUGGCUGACACCUCUUUGACUGACAAGUGUCCUGACUCUGCGUUUCAACGGCAUGAUGAACUUCCACCGGUCUGUCUUCGGGGUGAAGCAGUAAAGCGUUGUUUAUCCAAUGGAAGUUGGCUUACAAUUGCUGGCGAGGAGAAGACUGACUACUCGGGUUGUACUUACACAGGACAACGGAACAACCUUUAUCGAUCUCAUGUGCGUGUGGGCCUACACUUUGUUUCUCUCCUUGCGUCUUUGCUGGCCUGUGGUAUCUACAUUUUUUACAAGCAAUAUAACAUUUUACGGAUUCGUCUUCAUCUCAAUUUUUUCACCUCCUUUAUAUUCACAUCGAUAACACAAAUACUGUUUAAUCUUGCGGUCACUGAUACCCAUCUCGAUUCCCAUGAGGACAAUAUCAUCAUCGAAAAUAAAUCUUGGUGUAUCAUGCUCUAUGUUUUAUAUCGGACCGCUAAUUUAACUAAUUAUGGCUGGAUGUUGUGUGAAGGUAUUUAUCUUCAUAAAAUGAUUGUUGCUGCUUUCCGGGAGCAAAAAAGUAUGACUCCAUUUUAUAUUCUUGGCUGGAUUCUUCCACUUUCUGCAAUGGUACCUUAUUGCAUUGUUAAUUCACUGCCAAAGUAUAAUAACAAAUGCUGGACUCAACCAAUGCCAAUCAUUGCUUGGAUCUAUUCAGUUGUUCCCUUAACAGCGUUAAUCGGUAAUCUCAUUCUUUUGUUAAACAUUAUUCGAGUCUUCUUCACCAAAUUAACAGCCUCACCGGAUCAUUUUCGUUCAGCUUUGCGAGCAACCUCAAUACUUAUCAUUGUGUUUGGUGUUCAUUACCUGUUUUUCUUGAUUGAGCCAACUCUUCUUCAAUCAUGCGAUGUUAUACCUAAAAUUUUACUUUACAUUGGACUUGUGUCUGCAUCUCUGCAAGGAGCCAUCACAGCUACACUACUUUGCUUCUGCAAUUCUGAGGUUCAUUUGCUAAUUAAACGAAGCCUUCGACGUCGUUUCUUUAAUUUCAAGGAAGAAGUCACCGAAGAACAUGAUUUGGGCAAAGUAUCCAACUGAUAAUCUUAAUUUAUUCUUGCAGAAACAAUUCUGAUGUUAAUCUGAAUCUCUAAAAUCUUAAUGAAAGAGAAACAGCGUUUAGCCGACGAUCAAAUCAAUACUUAAACAUGGAACAAUCAUCAUCUCAAAGACGAAUCAUCAACUGAUUAUCAAUGGAAUUAAUAUUUUUAUUUAAAAAAGUAAAUGAGUGUAUAUUUAAAACAACUCAAUGCAAUCAUUGUUUAAUACCAAGCUUUAAUUUGUGAAGUAAAAUUGCAAUAUCAAUUCGGUCCAUCAAGUUAUUUGGAAAACCUGCCUCUCAACAUGCCAGAUAUCUCUUGAUUUAUAUUAUUAACAUCUCGGAUACUUUCAAUUCCAAGUUUGGAUCAGGUCUAAUCAGUAUAAUGAACAACUGCAAAUCAAAUUGGACGACUGCUGAUUAUAAUGAUUAAAUGAUAGCAAGAAAUUCAUGGUUACUGUUAAAGUAAACUUGAAUCAAGUAAAGAAAUGUAAACAAUAAAAUAACCUUAGUGUUUGCUGAAGCCAAUACAGUGGAUAAAAUUAAACUAAACCAACGUAUAUCUA